AUUGAACGCUGGCGGCAGGCCUAACACAUGCAAGUCGAACGAGUGGCGGACGGGUGAGUAAUGUCUGGGAAACUGCCUGAUGGAGGUGGAUAACUACUGGAAACGGUAGCUAAUACCGCAUACCAUCAGAUGUGCCCAGAUGGGAUUAGCUAGUUGGUGGGGUAACGGCUCACCGAGGCGACGAUCCCUAGCUGGGCUUGGAAGAUGACCAUCCACGCUGGAACUGAGACACGGUCCAGACUCCUACGUGGGGCAGCAGUGGGGAAUAUUGCACAAUGGGCGCAAGCCUGAUGCAGCCAUGCCGCGUGUAUGAAGAAGGCCGUCGGGUUGUAAAGUACUUUCAGCGGGGAGGCGUUACCCGCAGAAGAAGCACCGGCUAACUCCGUGCCAGCGGCCGCGGUAAUUC
rnacentral:rRNA from 1 species